UGGGGAAUUUUGGACAAUGGGCGAAAGCCUGAUCCAGCCAUGCCGCGUGAGUGAAGAAGGCCUUCGGGUUGUAAAGCUCUUUUAGUCGGAAAGAAAGAGUUGCAAUGAAUAAUUGUGAUUUAUGACGGUACCGACAGAAAAAGCACCGGCUAACUACGUGCCAGCAGCCGCGGUAAUACGUAGGGUGCGAGCGUUAAUCGGAAUUACUGGGCGUAAAGGGUGCGCGGGCGGUCUUGCAAGUCAGAUGUGAAAGCCCCGGGCUUAACCUGGGAAUUGCGUUUGAAACUACAAGACUAGAGUGCAGCAGAGGGGAGUGGAAUUCCAUGUGUAGCAGUGAAAUGCGUAGAGAUGUGGAAGAACACCGAUGGCGAAGGCAGCUCCCUGGGUUGACACUGACGCUCAUGCACGAAAGCGUGGGGAGCAAACA
rnacentral:rRNA from 1 species